ensembl:lncRNA novel transcript, antisense to HERC1
AGAAGCAAGUGAGGGAAAGACGGGAGGAAGACGUGCUGCCCUCUUUGACCACUCCCAGCAGCGUGGCAUGGCGCCCAGUUUGCUUGUGAACACACCGACCUCCAACUCUAAGACCAGCAUCAACUCCUCCUAUCACAGCCAGCACGGGCCACACCUCUAUGCAAAGAGUCCUCAGCUGCAGCUCUGAGAGUAAGUCCAACGGUCUGUUCGGUGAAGGAUACGGAUGAGCUGAAUAGUGGCCUCAGCCAGCACUGCUGCUACUGGACUACAAAUAGGGUCUCCUGGAAGGCACACCGAUGGAUCACGGAGUUGCAUGCAGCAGUGUACACAUCCUGACCCUCAGGAAGGUCUGUGCUGACCCUUCGCUCUUGCUGAGACUGAGGAGGUGGAUCAUCAGCUCGAGCCCCAGACCCUGCCCCACUGUUCAUUCUAUCUCGGUCUCGGCUACGAGCUACUUCACGGGCUGAGAGGAAACACUGAAAGAUUUCUGUAACAUGCAACACAAAAACAAGGUCUUAACACAUGGGGAGAGAAGAGCAAAGAAAAUAACAAUAAAAAUAGUCAAAAAGUUUGGACCAAA